rnacentral:rRNA from 1 species
GACGAACGCUGGCGGCGUGCUUAACACAUGCAGGUCGAACGGAAAGGCCCUGCUUUUGUGGGGUGCUCGAGUGGCGAACGGGUGAGUAACACGUGAGUAACCUGCCCUUGACUUUGGGAUAACUUCAGGAAACUGGGGCUAAUACCGGAUAGGAGCUCCUGCUGCAUGGUGGGGGUUGGAAAGUUUCGGCGGUUGGGGAUGGACUCGCGGCUUAUCAGCUUGUUGGUGGGGUAGUGGCUUACCAAGGCUUUGACGGGUAGCCGGCCUGAGAGGGUGACCGGCCACAUUGGGACUGAGAUACGGCCCAGACUCCUACGGGAGGCAGCAGUGGGGAAUAGUGCACAAUGGGCGGAAGCCUGAUGCAGCAACGCCGCGUGCGGGAUGACGGCCUUCGGGUUGUAAACCGCUUUCGCCUGUGACGAAGCGUGAGUGACGGUAAUGGGUAAAGAAGCACCGGCUAACUACGUG